ensembl:lncRNA
CGUACCUAUUAUUAAACAUCAAUAAAUCGUAAGCAGCCUAAACAGAAAAGUCUAGGUUUAAAGUGGCGCGCUUGGAGAUAUCGCGAGAUCUCGGCUCGUUCUGCAUAUUGUCAGCAGCGGCGAUCCUCCACCAUUUCGCUGCGUAAAGUCUCCUCCCCGCGACCGCUACAUUCUGCGCCGAAACCCAGUCUCUCCCGGUCCGUAUUUUCACUUCUUCCCACCGUCCUAGUGGUACCUCGUUGGGUACCGGGAGAUAGUUUGGAUUACUGGCAUCACGGAUUGAGUUCGAUUUUACGCGGAUGACGUCUUCUUUAGCAAGAAUUUAGUAAAAGAAAAUUGGUCGAAAAUUUCAGAAUAUGUGGAAGGGAUCCUAAUUUCAUCAUCCUGGAAGUAGAAAGCACUGAAGAUCUGUGUCUCACACCACAGACAGGUGCUGUGUGUAGCAAGAGCAGCACAGAGAAAGGAAGCUCUGCGGAGAAGGCGGUGUGGCAGCAGGCCUCUCCGGCUGUGGAUGUGCUGGGUGGUAACCCCCAGGCUGCGCAGAAUGUGGCUGGGGAGUCACCUCGGCAUGCCCCGCAGCCGGUCGCAGCUGCCCCCUGCCCGAUCCCUCCAUCUGCAAAUCCAUCCAGCAUGUCGCUGUCGGACGGCAACAGCUCAGUAUUCCCUGGCAUGGACCCUUCAGCAGCCUUUUCUGAGACUCUCCCAAGCAGGAAUUCUAAGGACGUCACCUCAGAAGAAGUGUGCACUGAGGAGAGCAUUGUUGGAAUUGCUAAGUCAUUGCCAGUGUCCUUCAGUCAGGACAGUAGUUCCUUUGCUAAGAUGCAAAGGCUCUCAAAUCUUCCUUGUCCCCCACUUGCAGCACGAAUUGACGGCUCAGUGCAAGAGCUUCAGGACGGGCUACAAAGUGGUAAAGAGGAAAGCCUCCCAGAUAGUCAAACAGACCAGAUUCAGCCUCAUCAAGAAAAUACGGGGCUUGUGGUUACUUUGGGGAUCCAGGAAGAACAAUCUAUCGCUUUGGACUACAAUCCCGACUCUGAAACAAAAGGGGAUGUUGGUAGACAAGAGCUCACCGAUAAAAGUGUCCUCUUACAACCCCAAAUUCAUUGCACAGUUUCAUCUUCCCCCACCCCUCCGUCAAGUGUUGGUUUCACAGUUCAAAACCCCACAAACUUUGGGGUUGUGGUGCAGUCAGACAGGGAAACAAUCGUCCUUCAGGGCAUCCACAAAACUCCAUCAGAUACUGCAGAACCAAGAGGUAGUUUCAAGGACUCGAAUGCCUCAGCCUCUUUGCCCUCAGCGGAAAAUGCAGAGGACAAACAAACGAACCUUUCAAAAACAAAACCUAAAACCAUCAGGGAGAUCCCAAACGACGACAGCAAUACGCAAACGGAAAAUUCUUCAGAAUCAAUCGAGGCCUUCAAACACACAAAAGUGGUUGCUGUCACCUCUGUCAAAGAAACACAACCUCAUUCACCUGAAAUACUUGAGACCCCAAAGGCUAAAGAAUCACAGCACGGAUUAGAUUCCUCCCUCGGAGACCAGAGUUCCGUGCCCACCAGUAAUCCCCCUGUAACAGAGCAGGGUGAUGGGGGUGUGAGGGAAGUCCAAACUGAUGCUGCUGCCCCUUCAGUGCUGCCAGAGUUUUCCUCCAAACCUCCUGCAGGGGCUCCCCUGUUCGACACCGACUUGGUUGUCUCACUACAUACAGGGGAGGUCAUCAAGACAGACAUUUCCCAUACCUCUGAUCCAGUCCCUUCCCACGAAACCUCACUGAUUGCUGAGAUUGUUCACUCUGCCAACGCCCAGGAAAUCGUGGUCGUCCGAGAGGGGGCUCAUAUCAGUGGCGACUGGUCAAACAUGCACCUAAAUCAGAGUUACCUGCUGCAACGAGAAGAUGGCACUGUGUGCGAAGCUGCCAUCGUUAACGAACUCUCUCCCGGAGGAGCGAAACUGUAUGAAGACAGUGUUCAGGCGGGCUUGGAACUGGACUCUCAGCCCGUGGAAGUGUAUGAGUUCUGUGGUCUGGUGGAGGAGGUUGCCGAGGAGACGAUAUGUGGCAGCAGUGGCACACAGAUACCUCACUCUCCAGGAUAUGAAGUAAACUUAUUCAAUGCAUUACUGGAAAAUUCUGACGAGUACACCAUCAAAGAGGACAUCGAACCUGCUAUUCACUCAGCUACUGAAAGUGAAACCAUCAUCAUUUCCCAGCAACCUUUGCCUUCUUCAAGUGAGCACGAUUCCCACAGUCUGUCCAUACAAAAAGCAAGGGUAGCUGCAGUCGGGUCGCAUUUGAUAUUAGAUAAUCAAACAGUCGAAGUGUCUCACUCAGGUGAGGUUUGUUUACUUCAAGUAGCUGCAGUUGCUUCAGAGUCUUUCACUGUUCAGCAGGCAGACACAAGUACACAAUUUGGCAUGCACUGCUUACAAGCUAAUGCUACAGAGUCAGACGUAAAAGAAGCACAUGGAUUAGAUUCUCCUAAACCAAAAGCAGAGACAGCAACAUGCUCUUUAGGAACCUCCUCCCCGGUGGUUGAAAUUAGUGGGGGAAACACAGUUUCAGUACAUAUUUCUUGUUUAGAAAACCAGCCUUGUCUUUCCGCUCAUGAAGGGACCAAAGAAACUCCUGCUUUGACUCCAUCACAGAAUAUUCACGCUGUGGUUUUGCCCUCUGAAACUAAACCUGACGGACUCUCCUCCACACAUUACUCUAGCGUCAAUCCAAAGCUGCUCCUUCAGGAGUCAGAAGAAACUCCCCUCCUGAAACAACCGAAUGCGGACGCCACGUUGACAAACUCCCACGGUUCUUGGUCUGCCGCUGAAGGGUGCCUUUCUGCAGAUGUCACAAAAGACUCCUUAUCUCCAUCUGUGGCUCCAAGCAGCCGGGAAGAUCAAACCCAGCGCUCUGAAGAGGAAAAAUCAGCAGCUCCUGUUGAAGCUCAGCAGUGUAGUGUUAGUGCUAGCACACCUCAGACUGAAUCUGACUCUGCAACAGCUUCAACAAACAAACCCGAGGCCUUAACUUCUACCAAAACAUCAACAGACAAAGCAGAUCCGUCUUCUGAAAAUGUUGAAACCCCCACGGACACCACUACACUUGUUUUACCUGAAUCCAUUCGCAUGCUCACAGCACCAGAGGAAAGUGAAUGUGAAGUUGCAAUGGCUACCAGUCCCAGCAAUCCCCUGACAGGCGUCCCAGACUACGAGGAUGACGACAGCGAGGACAUGGAGCAGGACAAACCAGCGGGAGAAACGGAAGUCCAAGAGAGCUUGUCAGGUCAGGUUAGCAGUCAAGAAGAAGACAGUGAUGAGGAAGCAGACGAAAGUGAGAUGACCUCUUCCAGCUCAUCACACAAGCAGGGACAGAGCAGGACAGCCAGUCAGGUGAUGUUCCAGAAGGUGCGUCAGUGGAUCUCAGAAAGAGUCUCUGCCAACUCGUCUCCCGUCUCCUCCUCAACUUCAUCUUCCUUCCUCGGGCCUUCAUCCAGCACAGACUGGACAACACCUCGACGAGAUAAGUUGUCGCCUCUCAGAGGUCCCCACGGCAAGUUUGUCUCCCCUUCCUCGGGUGGGUGCUCCGCCUCCUCCCCAACAGACCAGGCCUCCUCUCAGAGGUCCCGUGGAGAGAGACUCACUGACAUGGCAGAACUUGCUAAACAUGAAGCGGACAUCGAGCAUCGAACACAGGCCUUGAAGCGUGAGGGUUUCUGGUCAACGAAGCGCCUCAGCCGCCUGACGGAGCCUCAGCGACCCAAAGUUCAUUGGGAUUACUUGUGCGAGGAGAUGCAGUGGCUUUCUGCUGACUUUGCUCAAGAGAGACGCUGGAAGAGAGGCGUGGCCAGAAAGGUGGUCCGAAUGGUGGUGCGACAUCACGAAGAGCUUCGGCAAAAAGAGGAAAAAGCAAAAAGAGACGAACAUGCCAAAAUCAGAAAAAUUGCCUCCAAUAUCGCAAAGGAAAUCCGAUCUUUCUGGAGUAAUGUUGAGAAGGUGGUUCAGUUCAAGCAGCAGUCCAGGCUGGAGGAGAAGCGGAAGAAGGCUUUAGAUUUGCAGCUGGACUUCAUCGUAGGCCAGACGGAGAAAUACUCCGACCUUCUCAGCAAGUCACUGGCUCCCAGCAGGCCUCCUGAGAUUGUUGUCUCUCCUCAAAAAACACAUCCAUUCGCCAUUGAUGAGGAUGACUUCGAGCCUCCGUGUGAAGAGGAAGAUGACGAGGAAACCAUAGAGGUUGAGGAGCAGCAGGAGGGCAAUGAUGCUGAGAGCCAUCAGAGGGAAAUUGAACUACUGAAGGAAGAGAGCAUGUUGCCCCUUGAUCAACUUCUCAGCACUCUCAAAUUACCUCCUCCACAGAUACCUCAUCUAAAUGUUUCAAUCAAUUCCACCCUCACAGGGGAAAUGAGCAUUGAAGAGCUGCUGGAGAAGUAUAAAGGAGCUUAUGUGUCCGAUUUCGAAGAACCAUCUGGUUCUGGCUCAAAAGCAAGCUCCAAUUUGGAGGUUUCUGGUGACGAGGAGGUGGAGACUGAAGAAGAUGAGAGUGACGUUGAAAGCAACACAUCUUCCUCAGGUACUAUCCUCUGUCAUCCAAACAUUUUUCUUUCAGAUUCACCGGGAGACAGCGCUGAAGAUGAGGAAAGCGACAAGGAGGAGAUGAGUAAUGAGGAAGCAGAUGAUGAUGAAGGAAUGGAGCUUUUGCUGAAGGAGGGAGACGGCAGUCUGUCUUCUUCCGGCUCUCGACCAAAGAAAGAAAUCAGUCAUAUUGCUGCUACUGCUGAGAGCCUGCAGCCUAAAGGUUACACUCUGGCUACUACAAAGGUCAAGACUCCUAUUCCAUUCCUGCUUCAUGGCACUUUAAGAGAAUACCAGCACAUCGGGCUGGACUGGUUGGUCACCAUGUAUGAGAAGAAGCUGAAUGGAAUACUAGCAGAUGAAAUGGGUCUGGGUAAAACCAUCCAAACCAUUGCUCUGCUGGCUCACCUUGCCUGUGAAAAAGUGAACUGGGGCCCCCAUCUCAUCAUUGUCCCCACCAGUGUGAUGCUAAACUGGGAAAUGGAGUUGAAACGCUGGUGUCCCGGGUUCAAAAUCCUCACUUACUUUGGCAGCCAGAAGGAAAGAAAGCUUAAGAGACAGGGCUGGACGAAGCCGAACGCUUUCCACGUGUGCAUCACCUCAUAUAAGCUGGUGCUGCAGGAUCACCAGGCCUUUAGGCGGAAGUCUUGGCGUUAUUUAAUCCUCGACGAAGCUCAGAACAUCAAGAACUUCAAGUCCCAGCGUUGGCAGAGUCUGCUGAACUUCAACAGCCACCGGCGACUGCUGCUGACGGGAACGCCUCUCCAGAACAGCCUGAUGGAGCUUUGGUCCCUCAUGCACUUCCUGAUGCCUCACGUCUUUCAGUCCCACCGAGAGUUCAAGGAGUGGUUCUCGAAUCCGCUGACGGGGAUGAUUGAGGGCAGUCAGGAGUACAACGAGGGUCUGGUGAAGAGACUUCACAAGGUGCUGAGGCCGUUUCUUCUCAGGAGGAUCAAGGCUGACGUUGAGAAGCAGAUGCCCAAAAAAUACGAACAUGUGGUGCGCUGCCGUCUCUCUAAGAGGCAGCGAUUUCUCUACGACGACUUCAUGGCACAAGCUUCGACCCGUGAAACUUUAGCCAGUGGACACUUCAUGUCUGUGAUCAACAUUCUCAUGCAGCUCCGCAAAGUGUGCAACCACCCCAACCUGUUUGACCCCCGACCCAUCCAGUCGCCCUUCAUCACACAGCCCAUCGUCUUCUACACUGCCUCCAUAGUGCAGGAUGCACUGGACGUUCCCCCUCUCAAGGUCGGCAGAAAGACAAGUCAGGGGGGUAAAGUAUUAAAAAUAAAGUCUGAGUUUGACAGUUACUUUUUUUCCUCAGCGCUGCGAUCUUUCGAUGUUUAAUUUGAUCGGUUUGGAGGGUCGCAUGACCCGUUACCAAGCAGACAACUUCCUGCCACGACAGAAGGUCACCCGGCAGCUGAUCCAGGAGAUAAUUGAGGCUCCGGCACCUACCACGGCAAGAACUAGAGAAUACACACACAGAGAUAUUCUUAACGGAGUAACAUUAGAUCUUUACAGGGUAAAAACGUGAAGACUGGUUAGAUUGUUGA